GACGAACGCUGGCGGCGUGCUUAACACAUGCAAGUCGAACGGAAAGGCCCUGCUUUUGUGGGGUGCUCGAGUGGCGAACGGGUGAGUAACACGUGAGUAACCUGCCCUUGACUUUGGGAUAACUUCAGGAAACUGGGGCUAAUACCGGAUAGGAGCUCCUGCUGCAUGGUGGGGGUUGGAAAGUUUCGGCGGUUGGGGAUGGACUCGCGGCUUAUCAGCUUGUUGGUGGGGUAGUGGCUUACCAAGGCUUUGACGGGUAGCCGGCCUGAGAGGGUGACCGGCCGCGUUGGGGCUGGAAUAAGGCCCGGACCCCUACGGGAGGCAGCAGGGGGGAAUUUUGCAAAAGGGGCGGAAGCUGGAUGCAGAACCCCCGGGGGGGGGAGGACGGCCUUGGGGUUGUAAACCGCUUUCCCCUGGGACGAAGGGGGAGUGACGGGAAUGGGUAAAGAAACACCGGCUAACUGCGU
rnacentral:rRNA from 1 species